AGAUUGAACGCUGGCGGCAUGCCUUACACAUGCAAGUCGAACGGCAGCACGGGAGCAAUCCUGGUGGCGAGUGGCGAACGGGUGAGUAAUAUAUCGGAACGUGCCCAGUCGUGGGGGAUAACGCAGUGAAAGCUGUGCUAAUACCGCAUACGAUCUAUGGAUGAAAGCGGGGGACUCGCAAGAGCCUCGCGCGAUUGGAGCGGCCGAUAUCAGAUUAGCUAGUUGGUAGGGGUAAAAGCCCACCAAGGCGACGAUCUGUAGCUGGUCUGAGAGGA
rnacentral:rRNA from 1 species